rnacentral:rRNA from 1 species
GGUUCGAUUCCGGAGAGGGAGCCUGAGAAACGGCUACCACAUCCAAGGAAGGCAGCAGGCGCGCAAAUUACCCAAUCCCAAUACGGGGAGGUAGUGACAAUAAAUAACAAUAUGGGGCUCUUACGGGUCUCGUAAUUGGAAUGAGUACAAUUUAAAUCUCUUAACGAGGAACAAUUGGAGGGCAAGUCUGGUGCCAGCAGCCGCGGUAAUUCCAGCUCCAAUAGCGUAUAUUAAAGUUGUUGCAGUUAAAAAGCUCGUAGUUGAAUUUCGGAGUUUGUCGGUUGGUCGGGCUUCACUGUCCGCACUGGCCUGAUGGAUUCCUACCUUCUGAAUAACCAGCAUGCUAUUAAGUUAGUGCGUUGGGGAAGCAGAGCUAUUACCUUGAAAAAAUUAGAGUGCUUAAAGCAGGCUUUUGCUUGAAUAGAUUAGCAUGGAAUAAUAAAAUAGGACGGCAUGGUUCUAUUUUGUUGGUUUCUAGGAUCACCGUAAUGAUUAAUAGGGAUAGUUGGGGGCAUUAGUAUUCAAUUGUCAGAGGUGAAAUUCUUGGAUUUAUUGAAGACUAACUUCUGCGAAAGCAUUUGCCAAGGAUGUUUUCAUUAAUCAAGAACGAAAGUUAGGGGAUCGAAGACGAUCAGAUACCGUCGUAGUCUUAACCAUAAACUAUGCCGACUAGGGAUCGGACGAUGUUAAUUUUUUAAUGACUCGUUCGGCGCCUUACGGGAAACCAAAGUG